ensembl:lncRNA
CUUUUUUAAGAAGUAUUUUAUUCAAACAUUUACAUUUUAGUAAUCAGACGCUGUUAUCCAGAGCAAUUUACAGGAGCAAUAGGGGUUAAGUGUCUUGCUCAAGGGCACAGACAGAUUUUUACCUAGUCGGCUAGUGGCCCAACACUCACACUAACCUACCUGCCACCCCAGCAUCUUUCAUACAGAUCAUCAAAAUAUAUAUUACUUCUUAUUAAACCCAUAUACAAAAUUAUAUUCUUUCACUUCAAAUCCUUUGUGGUUUAAAAUAUAUCUUACUGCAAACAUUAUUUAAAGGCCCAGUAUGACACUUUCAUUCAAAUUGUGUAGACUUUAUUGAAAGGUGUAAGAACAUUAUUACAGAACGCAUACAUUUGGUCUCCAAUUUGUCUUUUUUGGCUGGUUGAUUUAUGUACCUCUCAAAUGGAUCACAUUUCCAAUCCUGUUGUCUGGACUUGCAUUAGAUUUGGUCGAUCACUGCUUUGUGUGGAGCAUCCAUAAUGUACAAAGCACAAACAUUUGCAAUAGAAUAAUUUCAGAAAUCAUAACAUCUAAAAACUAAAACAAUGCAGCCACUUUCAUUAAAAGAGAAAUAUGUACAGAUGGAACACGUGGAUAGGACUUGUCUGGUUUAUGGCCAUAAUUAAACAAGUUACAGUGUGAGAAAAGUGCUAACAUGUCGCACAACUACUGUAUGUUAUACCACCAAAACAUACACAUUCGUGCAGCUACGCUACACAUGGAAUCAAAAGAAUUAUGUUUUUCCAGUUUACAGCAAUAUCUUUUAAAUGUGGUGGUUUUGAUGGCUUCAGUUAAGGGAAAACAAAGCUAAUUUAAAUUUUAUUUGUAGAAUAAUCUAAGUUAAAAUCUUAAUUUAACAUCUCACAACAAUCUAAUCCUUUCCAGAAAGACAUUUUCAUGGUGUUCCAUUGAUUAUAAUAUACCUGUAAGAAUUAGAUAAGUCUAUCACACAUUAGACACUCUAUCACAAGUCUAUGGCAAUAUUACAUUUGAUAAUUCAACACAAUUACAGCACACAUUUUUAAAAGCCAAAUCAUAGAUUAAAUGAAAGUAAAACUGUUCAAAUUAAAAUCACCAAAGAAUAUUUUUGACAGCAGAGUUUUUGUUGUUGAUAUUGGAUCUGUGUUAACAGUGUGUGUGUCACAGGAGGCUGCUGAGGAGAGGACAGCUCAUAAUAAUGGCUGGAACGGAGAAGAUCAAAUGGCAUUAAACAAAUGGAAACCAUGUGUUUGAUGUCUUUGGUACCAUCAUUCCACUUAUUCCGCUCCUGCCAUUACCACAAGCCUGCUCUCCCCAAUUAAGGUGCCACCAACCUCCUGUGGUGUGUGUGUGCGUGUGUAAGAGACAGGUGUGAGAGACUGAUGUGUGUGUAAGUGUGUUAUGUUCUUGAGAAGUUCCUCUUCAGCUCCUUCCUAUAACACAGACGAGAGAGAGACAAGUCAGUUAAGAACAAAUUCUUAUUUACAAUGCCAGCCUUCCCCAG